ensembl:lncRNA
UUGGCAUGUAAGAGAAAAUCUGACUGUUGCAGUCCUUUCAUUCUUGUGUUGCAUUUUCACAUAGAAAAGCUACCUUCUUCCAUGUGGCAACUGAAAAGUCCAUUCUCUACAGAAGAAUAUAGGAUCAAGCUUCAAGUUACCUACUAUGAAUCAUCCGAAAAUAAAGCUGUUACCCAAUAUUACAACUGACUUCCCAAAACACUUGGAAAUAAUGAAACAGAAGACUAAUGCAACCUGAAGAUGAGAGCUAAUGAUGAUACUGAUGAAAAAGAAUCAGUUAAAAAUUCUGAGGAAAUCCCAUGAAUAAGCAAGAAACAGCCAAAAGACCAGCAAGCCGGCUCUCAGAAGCAGAGAAAGCUCUACGUUAAUAAGCAACAACAACAAAAAAAAAAGAAAAAAAAAGAAAAAAAUAAAAAAAUAAAAAAAAAAGAAGAGAAAGGCACCAUCUGGCUUUGCCCUUCCCACAGAAAUGUCAGGCUUUUGACUUGCUCUGGAAGUGUCCAGAAGCCACACAUCAGGACUGGGAGACUCAGAAGUGGGAUCCUGGGGAAUGCUCUUUCAAGUGAGCAGCUUUCCAAGAAAAUCAUACCUGAAGUGUGUGCAUGUCCUGGAAGACCUUGUAAGGACUGGAAUCUGAAACCUUCUUCAUCUGGAACUUCUACAGUCUGGUUUUCCACUACAUCAGUGCAAGCAAAUUACCAGAAGGACUGUGUUGAAAUUCAGCUGCCACUCAGGUUAAUUUCUUAUGUUUAUGGCUGUACAAAGUUCCACAUGAACCUAAUCAAUACAAGGAUUUAUGAAACAUUGAAACAGAACCGUCAUAAGGAGGAAAUUAUGGCCAGUUCCAGUUAUUAAAGAUUACCAGUAUUAAUUUAAAAAGAAUCCUUGUACAUCCUUAGGAUAUUUCGCAAGUACGUAGACUGAAGAAACAACUGUGGUUGGUUCCACUACAGUGUGUCUUUAUUUGUUGCACACUAAUUAAUGCUCGCUAGAAGGAAGCAAACCAUGACACACAGAGGUGAAAUACUGACUCCAAUUUAGUCACCAGCAGAUCUUUUCUGCUAAUUUCCUCAGAAUUUUUAUCUGACAUGCAAAACAUUCUGCAAAGGAAUUUUUUUUUUUUAAACAGCAGUUUUUGUAAGAUGUUGGGAUGAAAGCAAAAAAUAAUGUUUAUUCAACUGUCUCACACAUAUAUGUGUAUGAAUAUUACUACACACAAACGUAAAGAUUGGGUUGUAUAUAUAAAAGGGAAGAGUAAGUGAAGGACAUCCCCAUAUAUCUAUGUCAUUCAGAAGCUGGAUUUGCAGCUAAAUACACUUGCUUUUUUCCAAUGCAUUAACAAUGCAUUUCCUGACCAUCAUUGUUUACCUUCAACAUGCAUCAAAGACUUUUUUUCCACUUCCAUUCUUUCUCACGACUAAUUGUAAUAUUUUACAGUGACAACAUAUUUUCUCAGAACAUUUGUGUCCCAGAGUACUCUGACUUACACAGGGUCUUUCAAACAGUUCUUAUUGUCAGGAAGACUUGAAGAUAUUCACUACCUCAUUUUGUUUUGUUUCAUCUUGUAGUUGACAAAUGAGAAACUGUUUUUCUUCUUUAAAAAAUACAGUAACAAGCAGAUGUUAAAUUGUCCAUCAGUACUAUUUGCAUAUACACAUACAUGUGUACAUGCAUGCACACAUACACCACAAAGUUUGUUUCCUCAAAGAUAAAAUAACUUCCAAUGUAGAUAUAGCAAGACAUUCAUCUGUCAUAAUAUGUAAAGUCUACAUCAUAUAUAAAUCAACAUAUAAAUAACAUUACAAUUCAGAAAUAUGCAAAUCUGUUUUAAUCACUUAAGACAAUGAAAUUAUAU